rnacentral:lncRNA from 1 species
UUAACAUGAUAGGAAAAAAAGACAGAUGAUUAAUGGAUCGAUCUACUGUUAGAUUAGAUGUGAAAUGACAGAUAAUUGUCGGUGUAUACUGCUAUAUUAUCAAAGAUAAAAAAAAUUGUUUUGCUAGAUAUCUUCUUCACAAAUUUUGUACAAGAUCUAUCUAUUUUUAUUUUUUUUUCUCUUCCUUUCUCUUCUUCUGCAAUUAAUUUCCACCACCAACGGAUAUCCCUCUUAGCUUGUAUAUCUUCGUUGGUACUGCAGGAAGCUAGAAAUAAGAAGAAAAAAGGCAGUCAUCAAAAGCCUCAAGAGAAGAGGAAGAAAAUCAGCAGGCCGGCACCUUGUAGCAGCUUUCUUUGCGAGGCGAGCUUCCUAAGUAGCAUUAAGAAUUCGAAGGUCCUGCAUGGUUGGAUCUUCCCUAAUGAUGAAUUAAAAGGAUAUGUUUCUGCAUACUGAUACUUAAGCAGUGUUUAUGUUUCCCGUGUCAUCAAUAAAGCAAUUUGCAUCUGUGCUUUCAAAUCAUGCAGCAAGCAGAAAUAAAAUUAAAGAGGAGACUGAUAUUAGUGGGCAAACCGAGAAAUCCAAUCACCAGUGAUAAAAAUUUGGAGACUUGAAUUUGACGGAGUUGUGUCUGUACUACUUUUUGCGAUUGUCCAAUGUAUUAAUAGCAAAGACUACUGUUUUAAUCAAUUUCUCAACAAC